AUCCUCGAGAAGUCGUCCAGUCAGACGUACAACUCAAUAGCUUAUGUUUUUCUUCCCAUGAGAAUCAGUCUGAGGGCUUUUAGGAGUUGCUCCGAGGGUCUGCAGAGAGUUGGCUUCCAUGUCCAUGAUGGUUCUCAGAUCCAAGACUGGGGGCGGACGAGCGGGACUGCAGAUGGUAAUAAUGCAGUCACACAUUCGAAGAGUGUUCCAGUUCUGCCUCUGGUUUGGGGCUGAAUGCUGAGUCCAGAUCUUCAUCCUCAUACAUACUAAGGUCUGGAGCGCCAGGG